rnacentral:lncRNA from 1 species
CCGGGAGGGAGGCACCGCGGUGAUUCCAUUUUACAGAGGAGGACACUGUCUUGGAGAGUCGGAGCCUCCUGCCCCAGACAAAGCAGAGAACCAGGGAGCAAGUCCAGGUCUGUGCCACCCACCGCCCCUUCCCAAGGCCCACGUGCCCCUGGGUCGCUGGUCCCAGCAGAAACCCAGAUUGGCCAACACAUGUUCUUGAUUGUUUUUUUUUUUAAAAAGUAAGAAAGAAAGGCUUUAACAAAAGUGUUUUGUUCUGCAGAUAUUUCCUUCUGCAGUACUGGUGGCCACGACCUUGAGAGAGGUCCUUGGAGGCACGUGGUGGGCACCCAGCCUCUAUCUGGACACCAUGGGAGUCUUUGGCAGUCCUUCCCAUCCAGUCCCCUGCCUUGACGUACAACCCACAGCAAAGGUCCCAGAGUAGGUGGCCCGCUCCUAAACAUCUCAAGGAAGACUUCCCGCCGUCCCGCGGAGCCCGCCACCCACACCCGGGUUGCACAAGGUCCCUUGCGUGGUUACUGAAAGCUCUUUCUAAUUUUAACAAAGCUCCUAAAACCCGUUCUCAUCUGCGGAAUUCGCCUUUUGUGAGAACGGGAGCAGGGCUUUGAUUCUAAUUAGCAAACCACAAAUCCCGUCCGCAGCCUCCCUUGCAGGGUGAGUCUAACAGCACGAGGUCCCUC